GACACUAAGGGCAGUCCUUUAUAAGGUGUUGGGUGCUUUCGCACUGAUAGUAGGCGUGAUUGAUACACAAGACAGAGUAAUUCACUAUCCAAGCAACCGCAAUGAUGACAUGGUUGGAAAGGUCGGACAGGCUAUCUAAUAGGUGGAGGUAGAGCAGAGGGAAAAGCAAUGCCUACUAAGGGGUCAGGGCCACCUUUAAAGUGUGCGUGUUAAGCUUCUUAAACUUCGCUAUGGUAUGAGAGAUAGAUCUUUCGUUGUUUGUUAUUCUUGGGCAGGGUGCUGACAAGGGUUGGCUUGGUUCUGUCCUACGGCUGCGGUUAAUCCUU
rnacentral:lncRNA from 1 species